rnacentral:rRNA from 1 species
UACGGAGGGGGCAAGCGUUGUUCGGAAUCACUGGGUGUAAAGGGUGCGUAGGCGGUCCGUUAAGUCUGAUGUGAAAGCCCUGGGCUCAACUCAGGAAUUGCAUUGGAAACUGGCGGGCUGGAGUACGGGAGAGGGAAGCGGAAUUCCUGGUGUAGCGGUGAAAUGCGUAGAUAUCAAGAGGAACACCUGCGGCGAAGGCGGGUUGCUGGGCCGACACUGACGCUGAAGCGCGAAAGCCAGGGGAGCGAACGGG